rnacentral:rRNA from 1 species
AUUGAACGCUGGCGGCAUGCCUUACACAUGCAAGUCGAACGGUAACAGGUCUUCGGAUGCUGACGAGUGGCGAACGGGUGAGUAAUACAUCGGAACGUGCCUAGUAGUGGGGGAUAACUACUCGAAAGAGUGGCUAAUACCGCAUGAGAUCUACGGAUGAAAGCAGGGGAUCGCAAGACCUUGUGCUACUAGAGCGGCCGAUGGCAGAUUAGGUAGUUGGUGGGAUAAAAGCUUACCAAGCCGACGAUCUGUAGCUGGUCUGAGAGGACGAUCAGCCACACUGGGACUGAGAAACGGCCCAGACUCCUACGGGAGGCAGUAGUGGGGAAUUUUGGACAAUGGGCGCAAGCCUGAUCCAGCAAUGCCGCGUGCAGGAUGAAGGCCUUCGGGUUGUAAACUGCUUUUGUACGGAACGAAAAGCCCCGGGUUAAUGCCCUGGGGUCAUGACGGUACCGUAAGAAUAAGCACCGGCUAACUACGUGCCAGCCGCCGCCGUAA